rnacentral:rRNA from 1 species
UACAGAGGUCUCAAGCGUUGUUCGGAAUCACUGGGCGUAAAGGGUGCGUAGGCCGCACGGAAAGUCAGAGGUGAAAUCCCGGAGCUCAACUUCGGAAUUGCCUCCGAUACUCCCGUGCUUGAGGACUGGAGAGGAGUCUGGUAUUCACAGUGGAGCAGUGAAAUGCGUAGAUAUUGUGAGGAACACUAGUGGCGAAGGCGAGACUCUGGACAGUUCCUGACGCUGAGGCACGAAGGCCAGGGGAGCAAACGGG